rnacentral:rRNA from 1 species
GACAGAGGUGCCAAGCGUUAGGCGGAAUCACUGGGCUUAAAGCGUGUGUAGGCGGGUGGCUAAGUAACUUGGGAAAUCCCACGGCUCAACCGUGGAACUGCUGGGUAUACUGUGUGCCUUGGGUCAUCUAGGGGCUGCCGGAACAAAUGGUGGAGCGGUGAAAUGCGUAGAUAUCAUUUGGAACGCCAACGGCGAAAGCAGGCAGCUGGGGAUGCACCGACGCUGAGACACGAAAGCCAGGGGAGCGAACGGG